CCCCCCCCGAGAGAAAGUUAAUAGAGAUUAAUUAGGAUUAAUAGGGAUUAAUAAGAAUUAACGGGGAAGGAAAAAGAAAAAUAGGAACUGAUAAUAAUUACCGUUGAAGCACAAUGAAAAUUAAUGGGAAACAGUGAGGACUAUCGUAAGGUAGUGAUAAUUAAUGGGGAACACCAAUUAUUGAUGAUUAUUAAUGCAAAUUCAUCAAGAUUAAUAGGAAUUAAUGGGGAUUAAGGGGAAAUAACAGGAAAAAAGCAAAUUAAUGGGAAUUAAUGGGAGUUAAUAACGGCGCAAAACAGUGGGGAUUAAUGAGAGGUAAUAGAAAAGGAUGGGAAUUGAUGAGGAUUAAUGACAAUUAAUGGGAACAAAUGGAAACUAAUAAAAGUUAAUAGAAAUUAAUGGGAAGGAAUGAAGAUUGAAGAGGAUUAAUGAAAAUUAAUGAGGAAGAAUGGAAAUUAAUGGGGAUUAAUAGAAAUUAAUGGGAAGCAAUGGGAACGAGUGAGAAUCAGGGGAAAACAAUAGUAAUUAACGAGAAGUAAUGAGAGUUAAUGCAAAAUAAUAGCAAUUAACGAGGAUUAAUGGGAACUAUUAAGAGACAGCGAAAAAGGAAUUAAUGAGAAUUAAUGGAAGAUAAAAUGGGAAUUAAUAGGAAUGGGAAAUAACGGAGAUUAAUUGGAACUGGUGAGAGAUAGCGGGGUUUAAUGGGAACUAAUUACUGGGAAAUAAAAAAAAAUAAUUACCAAUAACGGUAAGUAACUGAGAUAGUAGAGAAUAGUAUUAAUUAAUCAAGAACAAUGAGAAGUGAGGCAGCACUGGGGAUACUGGGAGAUACUGGGAGGAUACUGGGAGGAUACUGGGGAUACUGGGAGAUACUGGGGAUACUGGGAGAUACUGGGAGGAUACUGGCGAUACUGGGGAUACUGGGAGGAUACUGGGGAUACUGGGAGAUACUGGGGAUACUGGGAGGAUACUGGGGAUACUGGGAGGAUACUGGGAGAUACUGGGAGGAUACUGGGGAUACUGGGAGGAUACUGGGGAUACUGGGAGAUACUGGGGAUACUGGGAGAUACUGGAAGGAUACUGGGGAUACUGGGAGGUACUGGGGAUACUGGGAGGAACUGGGAAUAGCAGGGGUACUGGGGAUACUGGG
ensembl:lncRNA